AGUCCAUGUGAAGAGAGGCUGUCAUAGUGAAGAUUUAGCAAUGAAAGGGCAAAAAUGAACCCAAGCUGCAAGUGAAUAACUGAUAAAAUAAAUAUUAUCACCUGGAUGAAGAAGGAUCUGUAGUCCAAAACGUCCUGAUAUACGUGUAUCAGAUAUGCUGGGAUGUUAAGGGUCAACGUUUAAAAAUGUGAGCGAUCGUCACAAACAGGAAGGCCAAUCAAAUGAUCACUCUGGGAUGAAUCUGAAAAACAGCAUAAUUUCCACUGGAUCUGUAUAUGAGCAAUCGCAAUGUGCAGAUGAUGUCGCCCGAGUGCCUGUCGAAAGAUAUUUCUGAGGAACGCUCUUGUUUUCUGUGGCCCUCGAGACUCUGAAGCAACAGUUUCCCCUGUGAGAGGUUCUCUUAAUUAACUCAUGGAACUUUUGUGCCCUGUUAUUUUUUUUUUCUCCUUUUGAUGUUCCGUACAAAAUAAUUGCUAUGCAAAUGUUCCAUUCAAUUCCUCUAAGUAAAGCAGAUCAAAGAACAUUUUGAAUGUGUGGGUUCAGGACAAAAACGAAACACAACUACGCUUUGUCAGCAUAGUUGGAAGGUAAAAAGUUCCAUGUGAACUUGGAACCAGUAUCGCUAGACACAGAGUUCCAAAGUCCUAUAGCAAUAGAUUGAACUCUCCAAUACAGAGAAGUAUUGCCCUGUACUGUGACUACAUUCAACCAGUGCAUGCUGCUGUCUGGAACUUUGAUUAACAGAAUCAUAGAGGAUCAUAAAGUGGGCGUGGAUUUUCUUUACUGGAUCCACCACCAAAUAAACUGCUGCUUUCUGGUUGUUUUGUUUUUAAGGAUGUUAUAAUAUUAGCAUCCAAACAGAGCUGUAUUGUAUAUCUUUGCAUUAAAGGGUAUGAAAUAAUUAUGGGCCCAUUUAUUUCUUAUAAGUAAGAGGCAGUGGCAGU